rnacentral:rRNA from 1 species
UGGCGAAAGGGUGCGUAACACGUGAGAAUUUACCAAGAAGUGGGGAAUAGCUCGACCGAGAGUCGGAAUUAUACCGCAUAUGAUCGCAAGAUCAAAGCCGGGGACCGCAAGGGCCUGGCGCUUUUUGAGAAGCCCGCGGCCCAUCAGCUAGUUGGCGGGGUAAAAGCCCACCAAGGCUAUGACGGGUAGCUGGUCUGAGAGGACGACCAGCCACACUGGAACUGAGACACGGUCCAGACACCUACGGGUGGCAGCAGUCGAGAAUUUUUCACAAUGGACGAAAGUCUGAUGGAGCGACGCCGCGUGGAGGAUGAAGGUUCUCGGAUUGUAAACCUCCUGUCCACUGCAGAACAAGGAUAUACCAGUUAAACAGCCGGUGUAUUUGAUGGUAAUGCGGAGAGGAAGGGACGGUAACUCUGUGCCAGCAGCCGGGUAAGACAGAGGUCCCGAGCG